rnacentral:misc_RNA from 1 species
GAUGAAGAACGCAGCGAAAUGCGAUAAGUAAUGCGAAUUGCAGAAUUUCCGUGAGUCAUCGAAUCUUUGAACGCACAUUGCGCCCACUGGUAUUCCGGUGGGCAUGCCUGUUCGAGCGUCAUUAUCCUCCCUCAAACCUCUGUGCGUUUGGUGUUGGGCCGCGUUGGUGUCACAGCCAACUGGUCUCAAAGACAAUGACGGCGUCCGUGGGACCCUCUUCGCAACGAGCAUCUUCGGAAGCACGCGUCGAGUCUAAAGGACCUUCCGGGCCGGUCUACCCUUUAUCUUUCUAAGGUUGACCUCGGAUCAGGUAGGAAUACCCGCUGAACUUAAGCAUAUCAAUAAGCGGAGGA